UACGGGGGGAGCAAGCGUUGUUCGGAUUUACUGGGCGUAAAGGGCUCGUAGGCGGCCAACUAAGUCGAACGUGAAAUCCCUCAGCUUAACUGGGGAACUGCGUCCGAUACUGAUUGGCUUGAAUCCGGAAGAGGGAUGCGGAAUUCCAGGUGUAGCGGUGAAAUGCGUAGAUACCAGGAGGAACACCGGUGGCGAAGGCGGCUUCCUGGCCCAGUACUGACGCUGAGGCACGAAAGCGUGGGGAGCGAACGGG
rnacentral:rRNA from 1 species